AGUGCGACUUAUAGUCCGGAAAAUACGGUAUUUGUUCAAGUUUUACUGCAAAUCUAAUCACACUGAGGUUAUCUGAACUUACUGUACCUUGACUUUAAUUCAACUCUGUAUGAUUUAACAGAUACAUAUUCAGUGUAGAAAUGAAAUAAUGCACAGAGAAAACAGCUGGAGCGUCAGAAACUACAGACGAGUAAAAACCAACAGGACAGAGAGAAAAAUGAAGGACAGAAAUAAAACACAAACCACUGGAUCUCAAGAGAAAAGCAGAUGGAGACUUGUUAGAUGGGACAGUAUGAAGAUGUUAAAACCCAAAUUCUCAGAUGAUCCAGACGGGCCUGAAAAGAUUAUUUCUGAUGUUCUCAAGAACACAACACACCAGCAUCAUCAUCAUCAUCUUCUUCUUCAUCACUCAGUUCAGCUCCUGGUCUCUUUCAGUGUUUACAGACUCAUUCCCUUCCAUCAGUGACUCUGUGUCUUCAGUUCACCUCUACAGGUCAUCAUCAGAAUCACAGCAGAGUUAAAAAUCUACAAAUAUAUGUGGCCAGAGGUAUAAAGACAGCAUGUUAAAACACAUAAAACUCAGUAUAUGGCCCCAUUAAGAGAUCGCCGAUCUCUGCUCGUGAGAUUUCCUGUUUGCAUGUGCGUGAACAGAACAGUCAUUUCGUGAUAAUCUGAUGUAGCAGCCGAGUGACAUGUCGUAGUGUGAUCCACAUGAACCUCGUGUCGGGGGAUAGUGGAAAUUUCCAGUGUAAUGUUCAGUAUUUUCUAUUCUUGUGUUAGCAUCUGGAAUUGUGCAAAGGCUAUCAGUGUUGUUAAAACUCGUGUUUUAAUGUUUAACAAUGUGUGUUCAUGUGAACAAGGUGGUUAUUGUGAGAGCAAAGAUGAGAUGACUUUGUUAAUGUGUUUCCUUUAUCUCUAAGGAUUCAGGAUUUUGGUGAAGCGAACAAGAUUUA